rnacentral:rRNA from 1 species
GAUGAACGCUGGCGGCGUGCCUAAUACAUGCCAGUCGAGCGAACGGACGAGAAGCUUGCUUCUCUGAUGUUAGCGGCGGACGGGUGAGUAACACGUGGAUAACCUACCUAUAAGACUGGGAUAACUUCGGGAAACCGGAGCUAAUACCGGAUAAUAUUUUGAACCGCAUGGUUCAAAAGUGAAAGACGGUCUUGCUGUCACUUAUAGAUGGAUCCGCGCUGCAUUAGCUAGUUGGUAAGGUAACGGCUUACCAAGGCAACGAUGCAUAGCCGACCUGAGAGGGUGAUCGGCCACACUGGAACUGAGACACGGUCCAGACUCCUACGGGAGGCAGCAGUAGGGAAUCUUCCGCAAUGGGCGAAAGCCUGACGGAGCAACGCCGCGUGAGUGAUGAAGGUCUUCGGAUCGUAAAACUCUGUUAUUAGGGAAGAACAUAUGCGUAAGUAACUGUGCACAUCUUGACGGUACCUAAUCAGAAAGCCACGGCUAACUACGUG